rnacentral:rRNA from 1 species
AGAACGAACGCUGGCGGCAGGCUUAACACAUGCAAGUCGAACGCCCCGCAAGGGGAGUGGCAGACGGGUGAGUAACGCGUGGGAAUCUACCUGGUUCUACGGAAUAACUGAGGGAAACUUCAGCUAAUACCGUAUACGCCCCAAGGGGGAAAGAUUUAUCGGUGCCAGAUGAGCCCGCGUUGGAUUAGCUAGUUGGUGGGGUAAUGGCCUACCAAGGCGACGAUCCAUAGCUGGUCUGAGAGGAUGAUCAGCCACACUGGGACUGAGACACGGCCCAGACUCCUACGGGAGGCAGCAGUGGGGAAUAUUGGACAAUGGGCGAAAGCCUGAUCCAGCCAUGCCGCGUGAGUGAUGAAGGCCUUAGGGUUGUAAAGCUCUUUCAGUGGGGAAGAUAAUGACGGUACCCACAGAAGAGCCCCGGCUAACUUCGUGCCAGCAGCCGC